rnacentral:tRNA from 1 species
GGGGAUGUAGUUCAGUUGUAGAUUGCUUGCCUCUCAUGCACAAGGCCCUGGGUUCAAUUCUCAGCACCACCA